rnacentral:rRNA from 1 species
UACGUAGGUGGCAAGCGUUGUCCGGAUUUAUUGGGUUUAAAGGGUGCGUAGGCGGCUUAUUAAGUCAGUGGUGAAAUACUCUAGCUCAACUAGAGGGGUGCCAUUGAUACUGAUGAGCUUGAGUACAGAUGAGGUAGGCGGAAUUGACGGUGUAGCGGUGAAAUGCUUAGAUAUCGUCAAGAACACCUAUAGCGAAGGCAGCUUACUAGGCUGUAACUGACGCUGAGGCACGAAAGCGUGGGGAGCAAACAGG